GACGGAGGGCGCAAGCGUUGUUCGGAAUCACUGGGCAUAAAGAGCACGUAGGCGGUCCAUUCAGUCCGUUGUGAAAGCCCCCGGCCCAACCGGGGAACUGCAUUGGAUACUGGUGGGCUAGAGGAUAGGAGGGGUGAGUGGAACUCCUGGUGGAACGGUGAAAUGUGUAGAUAUCAGGAGGAACACCGGUGGCGAAAGCGGCUCACUGGCCUGUCUCUGACGCUGAGGUGCGAAAGCUAGGGGAGCGAACGGG
rnacentral:misc_RNA from 1 species